rnacentral:misc_RNA from 1 species
AACUUUCAGCAACGGAUCUCUCGGCUCUUGCAUCGAAGAAGAACGCAGUCCAUUGCGAAAAGUCAUGCGACCUGCACUCUUUGAGAAGCAUUACUCUUUGAACGCACCUUGCGCGCAUCAACACUGUUGGUGCGAGGUCCUGUUUGAGCAAGAAAAUUACUAUUUAGUUGACCAUUACGCUGGUGGUGGUUCAAAGGCAAGCGGGCGCCCGAACGACUCUAGGGCAGCGAGACGAGUAGCACGAAAAGCACCACUACGCACCUUGCAACCGCCAAGAGUGAAUGAUGCAUCUCUACGACACACCAACGCAAUCAAUAGACCAAAUGCUAACCUUCUAUGCUUUACUGGUGAAUCACUAGUUUACUGGUGGAUUAGAGAUCAAGGUAACUUACAUUCCACAUUCAGCUUCUCAAAUCAGGAGAGAGGGCCCGCUGAACUUAAGCAUAUCAAGAAGCGGAGGCU